rnacentral:rRNA from 1 species
GAUCGUAAAGCUCUGUUGUAAGAGAAGAACGAGUGUGAGAGUGGAAAGUUCACACUGUGACGGUAACUUACCAGAAAGGGACGGCUAACUACGUGCCAGCAGCCGCGGUAAUACGUAGGUCCCGAGCGUUGUCCGGAUUUAUUGGGCGUAAAGCGAGCGCAGGCGGUUAGAUAAGUCUGAAGUUAAAGGCUGUGGCUUAACCAUAGUACGCUUUGGAAACUGUUUAACUUGAGUGCAGAAGGGGAGAGUGGAAUUCCAUGUGUAGCGGUGAAAUGCGUAGAUAUAUGGAGGAACACCGGUGGCGAAAGCGGCUCUCUGGUCUGUAACUGACGCUGAGGCUCGAAAGCGUGGGGAGCAAACAGGAUUAGAUACCCUGGUAGUCCACGCCGUAAACGAUGAGUGCUAGGUGUUGGGUCCUUUCCGGGACUCAGUGCCGCAGCUAACGCAUUAAGCACUCCGCCUGGGGAGUACGACCGCAAGUUGAAACUCAAAGGAAUUGACGGGGGCCCGCACAAGCGGUGGAGCAUGUGGUUUAAU